CAGCAAGGUGAAGGACACAUUUUAUUAACCAAAAUGGGAGGAAAUCGACUGCAUUGAGACCUUCUCAUAUCGUACUAACUAUGGAGGCUAAGCCUAUUGUGACAUGCCACGGAGACCAAAGCUUGUUUUCUCUGCUGCAUCCCAUUGUUCUCAGUGGUUUACCAAAGGAAUCAUGUGAAUGGAAAAGAUCGUAUGGUCGAGCACCUCGCACUUUGCAACUCGAAGCAAGUUUUGUUCCCUACGAUGCUGACAUCCUUCCUGAAGAAGAUGACCGAGUCCUCAUCAGUAGACCGUACUUCCAUAUAUACUGGACAGACUGUGACCUAGAAGGCUACAAGCAGACAGUGAAAGAAGACAUUGCUGAAUGGCAGGCUGCACUGAAGGGAAAGAACAUACCUGAUUGGUUGAUUGUGGUGGUCGUCAUGGAUGAAAGCAAAGUUAAAUCCAAAAUUCUCCCAAGGUCAUCUGUGAUAGACAAGGUCAAGAAUGACUUCUGCAACAAGGCACAAGAAAGAUGUCUGGUGCUGACAGAGCCGAUGAAGACUGACCCUAAGAGUGCCGAGUCCUGGUAUAACUUCUUCAUCAAGCUCCGCCCCCUACUGUUGACUGCGUAUAAUCGGCAGCUGGGUCGCUUUGAGGACAACAUGCGGGCGCUGAGAGAGAAGCGGAAUGAACCAGGAUGGAACUACAUGGAAUAUUUUGUUGUGCAGGAGGAGCUGGCCUUUAUGUUUGAGAUCCUGGGUGUGUACGACGACGCGCUGCUUCAGUAUGAUGAGCUGGAUGCUCUGUUUACACAGUUUGCUGAGAACCAUGCAGCAGGAGCUCAUGUGAAAUGGCUGACCCCUCUCAUACAGCCAUGUAGCAACUGGAGCGGUCUCUCCCUCACCAAGGCCUUGAACCACCAGCUGCGGGACGCCAUCAAGAUGAACAAGGCCAGUGUGUUGGAGUUCCGCAACUACCUGUUCUCUCGCCAGUGUGCGCUGCUGUUCUUGUUGAAGCGCCCAGGCGAGGUGGCCCAGCGGGCUCUGGACUACCUCCACUACACCGUACAAGAGAUGAUCGCACUCGAGGUGGAGGUUCCCCAGGGGGCGCUGUGGUGCUGGGUGUUCCUCAGUAGUCUUGCCGUGCUGGAGACGUGUGAGCGGUACAAUGAGUCAUCGCGGGUCAACAAGAACUCUUUGUGUAUCGCCAGUCUGUGGGACUACGCCAGACGGAAGCUGAAGGAACUAGGGAACGUGUGCGGCCUGAUCCCCGGGACCAUGCCCACAUCCAAACAGCUGAGCUGUAGAGUGGAUCUCACCUCGGGCAUGGUCACACUGAACAGUGAAGAUACAGCGCCUACUGACAACAUCACACCUCUGGACAGAUUGCGACAGGCUCUGUCUUCAGAUGAGUCCUACAAGAAACAUUACCUGGAAAUGUGUGAGCUGGCAAUGGGAACGUACAAACACAUCUGUCGGUUCCGCUCGGCUCGGAUUAUUGGCAGAGACCUGGCUGACUUCUACAUGCUGCUAGGGGAGCCCCACAAGGCGGAGGGUUUCCUGCUGGAUGCCAUCAAGAUGUACCGACAAGAGCACUGGGGGCACCUGGCAGAUGGCACCAUGCUGGAGCUUGCGGUCUGCCAGGCCAAGAUGGACGACAAUGCCAAAUUUCUGAAGACAGCCUGCCACAUUGCCUGCAGCCCCCAUCUCAAGAUGGCCGACAGGGAGCACUACUUCAGUGAGGUGAUGAGGAUAGCUGAAGACAAAGAUGAAAUGUGCAUCCUGAAAGCCUCCAAGAUUCUUGGUUUGGAAGGCGCGGCAGUGAUGACGCCAACUGUAAUCCUUAAUGAAGACUUUGUCAUAGACACGAAGAUCCACAACCACUUCCCUAGAGCCAUCACUUGCAGUAAGAUCAGCAUCUCCGUCUCUCACUGCCCGCCGGAGAAACAGCCAAACUCAUCUCACUUCUCGAAAAAGAAAAUCGCCCACACAAGAACUCCCAGCUUGACCAUUCACAAGCCUGAACACAUAGCAAAUUUUCAGCCAAUCAGAAAGCAGUUGCCUGCAAUGAUUGACACUGUGGCGACCUAUGAAAAGAGGCAGGGGAAGAUUGUGGGGGCAGGGCUGACUUGUAAGAAUGCUCAUGAGUUGCUGAAGAGAACAGACAGCGGUCCGGGAGGGGCCAGUGACGUGGACCACACGAUGAAGGGGGACUUCACAGUGAGUCUCCUGGCUGAGGACAUUGAGCUGCAGCCGGGCGAGAACAACGUGCAGCUCAAGAUGAAGACUGCGGAGAAGGGCGUGUUCUACUUGAGUCAGCUAUGCUACGAGGUGAAGCAUCUAGACUUCCUCAAGUCACUCAGUGGAUGGGACCUGUUCUUCAAGGUUGUCUGUGACCAACCCAGGGUGGAGCUGAAGCCUGCCAAGUCAGAUCACUUCAUUGCUGGGAUAAAGCAAGAGGCGACCUUGACCUUGCUGACAGGAAGUUUUGCCCUCCCACAAGGCUGCAGUGCUCAGUUCAAGACCACAGAGAACCUGGAAGUCUCGACAAGGGAAGGUAACUCUGUCCUGAAGCUGUCACCACUGGAAGCAGAUCAGUCGUCAGACUUCACUACAACGGCCCUCCAUCAGACUCGACAGACGUUUGAUGGCUCUUCAGACGCCAAGCUGACUUGCCAUGUUGACGUGUGGGACAAGAAACUCGACGUUCAUCUCAACUUUGUCCAUCCCUUUAAAGUGGAACAUGUUUUACACACAUGCAAGGAAAAAAAAUAUCUUCAAGUCACCAUUAAAGGCAAUACCAAAACCGAAUUCCUCGUCAGUCAGCCAGAGUUAUCUGCCCUGAAUUCCAAUGAUGUGGAGUUGCAGUUAAUGAACAGAACCGGACAACAGAUGAAAGUGAAUAGCAGCCAGACAGCCUCCAUCUUGUGGCAGAUCCGCUGCAACAUCCCGGACAUUCCCCGAUUGGAGACAGAGCUCUCCUUCCUCUACACCUGUCCACUGGAUCUUCAGGCCACGCCCCGCAAAUACCUGUACACCUGUAGUGUGGAGAACUUCCAGACCAAAUACAUCCUGAGCUACAACGUGACAUCCCCAGAGGAGGACAAGCAGUGUAAGACGGGGAAGACCGCGGCCCUCAAGCUGCAGGUGAAGAAGUGCAAUGGAGGUCAUAACGACCCUGACGAGAGGCUGGUCUACGAUGUGAGAUCAGACACAGACACCUGGGCGCUGGUUGGGAAGUCUACAGGGAUAUUUUUUCUGAAGGAUGACUACUAUGAGACGAUCCUGGAUGUGGUGGCUGUGAAAGCAGGCUUCGUGCAUCUCCCUUUGGUCCACAUACACAAGUACCGAGCUGACCAAUCAAAUAUGGAGGAGAGCAGCAAUGAGUCACUGGCUGAUCCUCCCGAGUUUGUCAGGUUCUCCAGGGGAGAGGUGUACAACAGCAGCGUGGCCCAGCAGGUGCACGUCUACCCGGAGAUGGGGGGCAAAGAUGUGGAGGUGUCCCUCAUGGAAGGGUAGAUAAUCGACAAUCUGUGACCACUACUGCUACUUGACCUCGAAGGGCCGUGUCUACCCUGAGAUGGGAAGUUAAGAUGUGGAGGUGUCCCUGCAAUCUGUGAUUUGAACUACCUGACCUCACAGGGCUGUGUCUACCUUGAGGGAAAGAUGUGGAGGUGUCCCUGGUGGAAGAUGGAUGACCUGCAAUCUGUGACUUGAACUACCUGACCUCACAGGGCUGUGUCUACCUUGAGGGAAAGAUGUGAGGUGUCCAAGGUGGAAGGGUGGAUGAACCAAUUGUCAAUGAUUCCUGGUCAUGAGUUAGAACUGUAGACACCCCAGUUAUUAUCCUUGAUGGGUCAGGGCCCUCCCAAUGCUCAUGUGUUUCAUCAACCAGCAAUAGAAACUAACCAUUUAGUCCCCUAGUCCUUAUUAUGAUAACAUAAAGGAAAUACCUUAAUUAUGGCAAAUUUCUACUAGUCCUUAUGAUAGCUGAGCUAUUGGGCAGCUUGAUAAGGACUAAUGUUGUCAACAUGUUAAGGUUUCUAACCAGCAACUGUCUUUCCACUCACUUGAAGCCGACAUGCUGUGCAGUAACAGAAAUACUGUCCUAUGGGAAGUAAAUCCAACUCACUCAUCAACAGUGUGUUACAAGGAAGAGAAGAUGACCAGCAGUCCAUGUCUACUCCAGAUGUAAGAACACUGCAUGACUCACAGUGAGUGACAUGAAAAACCUUGUGUCUGCUUGAAUAGUCGGGUGUAGGAAUCACGGGUCUGUUUCAGCAAUGACAACGACAGUAGUUGACUCGUAAAUGAUCUACAUACUGGUGUUCGCCGAUUGUCAGUCAACCAUUGUAUGUGUUUGAUUGGCUUAGUUAUUUUCAGAAGUAUGAAUUUGCCAAUACUCUGUGAAUCAUCCAAACAUAUAUUAGGCCAAUCUUGAUAGUUUCAUUAUGUGCUACAGGCACAUCUUCCCGAGGCAAGGGAGUUAACUGACUCUAAAAGUCCAGUUUCCACCCUUGCCAAACUAGGCUGGAAUUUCUGGGCUCAAUCGUAGCGCCACCAGUGGCUUUUACGAGUUAUGUCCCU
rnacentral:misc_RNA from 1 species